rnacentral:misc_RNA from 1 species
ACCUUGCCGUGAACUGACGAGAUAUUAAGAUGGAAAAGGGAAAGACUAUUUUUCUCGAUAUUUUUAGAAGAGCUGACAAGAAUGAUGAUGGAGCAAUAUCAUGGGAAGAGUUUGUUCAGUUUUUUGCUGAUGGAGUCAUGGGGAAGGAAGAAAUGGAGAAAUUGUUCAAUGAUAUUGACACCCACAACACAAAUAACAUAGACACGGGGGAGCUGUGUGAGUAUUUUAGCAAUCACCUGGGCGAGAUGAAGGAGAUUUAUUCCUUGCUCGAUGAUCUUAACAACAAGGUCACCAAUGUAUUGCAGUCCACUGCCCAGUCUUACCCCCAGAAGAACAGAACAGACAAGUUCAUUACCCGUUUCCUUAUGAGGGAGUGUAUAAAUCAACUGACUGCAGUACAGCGCCCCCUUGAGUCUGCUUCAGAUCACAUGGAUGAGGAAGCAAGAGGAGACAACACAGACAUCAAACCUAUUGAGCUCCGCGAUGUCCUUCCCAAGCCAGAUGUUAUCCCUGGUCGAGUAGGGCGUCGCACCAAGCGCCAGAUCAGCGGUCAGACCCAAACUUCUGUAGAGGGAUCGAUGACUCCCUCGGCACUAACUGCCCAAGUGGACAGACUGUCUGACCUGCUCGAUCGAUUAGAACACGGAGUCAACUUUAAGGGCUUUGUGGAUGAGGAUCUGAAUGCUGUUGAAGGGGAUCAGUACCUGCUUCAGCAGAGGAGUAUGGAGGUGGCCAAGGGGAAAGAGGACGAGUUCCGCUCCGCCCUCCGUCAGUACAUUGAGGACACCAACGGCAGCCCAGGGGCACUCAAGUAAGUGUGGACCAAUCAAACAGCUCUAGUAACCUCCACUGAUAAAUUAAUGGAAAAUCUUCAUCUAUAGGUGACUCUGAGUGAUGGAUGUCCUUGGUUUGCUUUCAGUGUCAGCGUUAGAUUCUUUAAAGACUCAGGAUUGUUUACUUUGUAUGAGGUGUGGGAAUCCAAGGACAAAGAGAAGCAGUACCGGGAGAAGAAAGCAUUUGACGCCAUGUUCACGGAUCUACUGGCAUCAGGAACUACAGCAACCUCCAUCACCUUCCCAAAGGCCUGGUGGUUGAAGAAAUGAAGAGCUGUAAUUAUCAGGGAACAAAGCUAUUUUACCUACUCACAUAAUAAUCUAUUGGACCUUGCAGUACUCUCUGCCCACACAUUACACCUAUUGUACUGUGCUGUCUCUACAGUACCUCUAACUACUUAUAUAGUUCUUUGUACUAGUGUUUGCAAUAGUACAUGACUGGUAUCUCAAAACUGUUUAUCCCAUUAAUUGGGUUUUUUUUAUGUUGUUUUUACCUGUUUGUUUUAUUUUAAUGCCAAUCAUGACAUUAAAACAUUUUUUUUUAUAAAUUUACCCAAGCAUAAUUUAGCAUACUUAAGAAUAUGUUUUGUAUAUGGAUGAUAUUUUUAAUAAUUAUGAAUAGAAUAUAUAUGACAUGUUUCACUGACAAUCUUGUGUAGGUUUGUACAUGUAUGUUGUACUUUUUACAGCCUGACCAAUUGUCACCUUGUAUUUUGUGGUUGGUUUUCAACCCGUGAUUCAAUGAUAGGUUCCAUGUGGAUGCAAACAGGUUUCGUCUUGUCAGAAGAUUCAAAUCAGUAGAGAAGGUUUUGUGUGUGUAACAGCUAUAGUAAUAGUAUGAUAGAUUGUGCAAAAUUUCAAAGCAUGCUGUAAUUUAUUAGCAUUCUAUAUGAUAUUCUAUGAGUGCAGAUUGUUAACUUUCUUUUUAGACACUGUAGUUAAAAUAAAAUUAUAUAAAAU